UAGGGAAUCUUGCGCAAUGGACGAAAGUCUGACGCAGCAACGCCGCGUGAGGGAUGAAGGCUCUCGGGUUGUAAACCUCUUUCAGCAGGAACGAAAUUGACGGUACCUGCAGAAGAAGCUCCGGCCAACUACGUGCCAGCAGCCGCGGUAAUACGUAGGGAGCAAGCGUUGUCCGGAUUUAUUGGGCGUAAAGAGCUCGUAGGCGGCUUAGCAAGUCGGGUGUGAAAACUCCAGGCUCAACCUGGAGACGCCACUCGAUACUGCUAUGGCUUGAGUUCGGUAGGGGACCAUGGAAUUCCUGGUGUAGCGGUGAAAUGCGCAGAUAUCAGGAGGAACACCGAUGGCGAAGGCAGUGGUCUGGGCCGAUACUGACGCUGAGGAGCGAAAGCGUGGGGAGCGAACAGGAUUAGAUACCCCCGUAGUCC
rnacentral:rRNA from 1 species